CGAAAGCCUGACGGAGCAAUACCGCGUGAGGGAGGAAGGCUCUUGGGUUGUAAACCUCUUUUCUCAGGGAAGAAAUCUGACGGUACCUGAGGAAUCAGCAUCGGCUAACUCCGUGCCAGCAGCCGCGGUAAUACGGAGGAUGCAAGCGUUAUCCGGAAUGAUUGGGCGUAAAGCGUCCGCAGGUGGCAGUUCAAGUCUGCUGUCAAAGACCGGGGCUCAACCCUGGAAAGGCAGUGGAAACUGAACAGCUAGAGUGCGGUAGGGGCAGAGGGAAUUCCCAGUGUAGCGGUGAAAUGCGUAGAGAUUGGGAAGAACACCGGUGGCGAAAGCGCUCUGCUAGACCGCAACUGACACUCAGGGACGAAAGCUAGGGGAGCGAAUGGGAUUAGAUACCCCAGUAGUCCUAGCCGUAAACGUUGGAUACUAGGCGUUGCUCGUAUCGACCCGAGCAGUGUCGUAGCUAACGCGUUAAGUAUCCCGCCUGGGGAGUACGCCGGCAACGGUGAAACUCAAAGGAAUUGACGGGGGCCCGCACAAGCGGUGGAGUAUGUGGUUUAAUUCGAUGCAACGCGAAGAACCUUACCAAGACUUGACAUGUCGCGAACCCUGCUGAAAGGUGGGGGUGCCUUCGGGAGCGCGAACACAGGUGGUGCAUGGCUGUCGUCAGCUCGUGUCGUGAGAUGUUGGGUUAAGUCCCGCAACGAGCGCAACCCUCGUUUUUAGUUGCCAGCGGGUAAAGCCGGGCACUCUAGAGAGACUGCCGGUGACAAACCGGAGGAAGGUGGGGAUGACGUCAAGUCAGCAUGCCCCUUACGUCUUGGGCAACACACGUACUACAAUGCUACGGACAAAGGGCAGCAAGUUAGCAAUGACAAGCAAAUCCCACAAACCGUGGCUCAGUUCAGAUUGGAGGCUGCAACUCGCCUCCAUGAAGUCGGAAUCGCUAGUAAUUGCAGGUCAGCAUACUGCAGUGAAUUCGUUCCCGGGCCUUGUACACACCGCCCGUCACACCAUGGAAGCUGGCCACGCCCGAAGUCGUUACCCUAACCGCAAGGAGGGGGACGCCGAAGGCAGGGCUGGUGACUGGGGUGAAGUCGUAACAAGGUAGCCGUACCGGAAGGUGUGGCUGGAUCACCUCCUUUACAGGGAGACCUACCCCAUCGGUAUCGAAAGAAAAUCUAGAGAUAACGAUGAGGUCACCCCUAAGGUCGGUCGAGGAAAUGGUGUGGCUUUUCAACUAUAAUCGGUUCGGUAUCAUAGUCGGGGCUAUUAGCUCAGGUGGUUAGAGCGCACCCCUGAUAAGGGUGAGGUCCCUGGUUCGAGUCCAGGAUGGCCCACCUAAACUUGUGGAUACUACUGACAGCAAAGUGACUGGAAAAACCCCAGUCAGACUGCUGGCAUGUGAACCAGCCAGAACCUUGAAAACUGCAUAAGUAACGCGUUAAAGCAAGCAGAUACAGCCGUAGUAAGCGCGAAAGCUGUAAUGCUUGCUGUGUAUAAACCAAUGUGGUCAAGCUAAUCAGGGCUGACGGUGGAUACCUAGGCACACAGAGGCGAAGAAGGACGUGGCGACCGACGAAAAGCUCCGGGGAGCUGGAAGCAAGCAUCGAGCCGGAGAUCUCCGAAUGGGGCAACCCUAAAUACUACCUGCUGAAUAUAUAGGCAGGCUUGAGCCAACCCAGCGAACUGAAACAUCUUAGUAGCUGGAGGAACAAAAAGAAAAAUCGAUUCCCUAAGUAGUGGUGAGCGAACAGGGAACAGCCUAAACCAGCUGUUACGACAGUUGGGGUAGUGGGACAGCAACAAUAGAUAGUCUAGUCUAAACGAAGCAGUUGGCAUACUGCACCAGAGAAGGUGAAAGUCCUGUAAUUGAAAGGCGAAACUGCUAUAGCUGAAUCCCGAGUAGCACGGGGCACGAGGAAUCCCGUGUGAAUCAGCGAGGACCAUCUCGUAAGGCUAAAUACUACUGUGUGACCGAUAGUGAACCAGUACCGCGAGGGAAAGGUGAAAAGAACCCCGCAAGGGGAGUGAAAUAGAACAUGAAACCGUCAGCUGUCAAGCAGUGGAAGGACGAUUCAACGUCUGACCGCGUGCCUGUUGAAGAAUGAGCCGGCGACUUAUAAGCAGUGGCAGGUGAAGGCGAGAAUGCCACAACCAAAGCGAAAGCGAGUCUGAAUCGGGCGUUAAAGUCACUGUUUAUAGACCCGAACCCGGGUGAUCUAACCAUGUCCAGGAUGAAGCUUGGGUAACACCAAGUGGAGGUCCGAACCGACCGAUGUUGAAAAAUCGGCGGAUGAGGUGUGGUUAGGGGUGAAAUACCAAUCGAACCCGGAGCUAGCUGGUUCUCCCCGAAAUGUGUUGAGGCGCAGCGGUUGUGAAUAUAGCCUGGGGGUAAAGCACUGUUUCGGUGCGGGCUGCCUUAAGCGGUACCAAAUCGAGACAAACUCAGAAUACCAGGUGCACACACAACCAGUGAGACGGUGGGGGAUAAGCUCCAUCG
rnacentral:sRNA from 1 species